AAAACUGGGAGCGUAGGACAGACCGACGGUUGUGCGGCCUUUUUGCUGCUCUUGUGUAGCUUUAUCAAUUUCCACAGACGUCAGUAACGAGAGUCAUCCUAUAGCUGGUUUGAAGGAACUAAGGUCGGCAGUAACGAGCGACACACCAUAACCACUGUUCAAGUGCAACCUACACAAGGCACACUGCAGUCGAGUUAAGAGGAACCUCGUCUGAGUAUCGAGUCAAGCCCAUGGCUGAUAACAACGCUGACAGCUUACUGCCGACAUCCGGCAAACUAAAAUUCCUUCGUCACUUUGAAGGCAUCCUGGUCAGUAACCUGUUCGAAGAGUCGCGACUGCGGUCAGCCUUUCGUUACGAGCCCAGGGACGACGAUGUGUUCGUCGUGGGCUUCCCGAAGACGGGCACCACGUGGCUUCAUUUCGUGCUGUAACGCAUCCUGAAACACGACAGUGAAACGCCCAUACAGAGCGCCGCAGCGUGUGGGAUGAACGUUGCCUUCCUGGAAGGCGCUGGCGGCGAGAAGGUUGAGAAGCUGCCGAGGAAAUCGGGGAUACCACUGGUCAUCAAGACGCAUCUGCCUUUCGAGAAAGUGCACUUCUCGGACAAAUCCAGGUAUAUCUACGUGCUGCGGAAUCCAUAUGGCACGUGCGUGUCGUAUUACCAUCAGGUGCAACAGAAAGCGCCAGGCUGCAGAGACGUCACUUUCGACGACUUCUUCGAGCAGUUCAUAGACGGACGAGUUCACCCGAACGAUUACUUCGAUCACCUGGCGUCCUGGUUCGCGCAGAGGGCGAGACCUAAUUUUAUGUGCAUAACGUACCGAAGACAUGAAAAGAGAUCCUCGUUCCGGGAUUCAAAAGAUCGCCCAGUUUCUGGGGAAGAAAAUCAUCCAGUACGACGCAGUACUGGAUGAAAUCGUACAGACCGUAUCUCCGGAUAUCAUGAAAAAGGCCUUUGCCGAAGCCUUUUCUGCAAGGCACGAGGACAAGUCGAUCAAAGGCGAUUCCUCUGGCGGGGCCAGCAAGCAGAGAGGUGCCAACCUCGUAAGGAACGCGACAGUCGGCGACUGGAAGAACCAUUUCUCAGCCUCUCAGAUUGAGCGCAUGAAAGUCAAAAUUGCAUGUAGGACGUCCGGCUUUCGAAGAGACCUGGAGGCUAUGUGGAAGGACGCCAGCCUGCCGUAAGCAGCUCAUUCAGCGCACGUCGUGAAAACCCAUUCAAUAACUUUGCAAAUGCGUCUUUCUAGAAUAAAUUUUUUUGUUA